rnacentral:rRNA from 2 species
UGCAAGUCGAACGAUGAAGUGGAGCUUGCUCCACGGAUUAGUGGCGAACGGGUGAGUAACACGUGAAUAACCUGCCCUCAAUUUCGGAAUAACCCAGGGAAACCUGGGCUAAUACCGGAUACGUAAACCUGUGGCAUCACAUGGUUUUGGAAAGUUUUUCGAUUGAGGAUGGAUUCGCGGCCUAUCAGCUUGUUGGUGAGGUAAUGGCUCACCAAGGCGACGACGGGUAGCCGGCCUGAGAGGGUGAACGGCCACACUGGGACUGAGACACGGCCCAGAUUCC